rnacentral:tRNA from 1 species
ACGUGGUCGCCACGCUGGUCGAAGUGGUGCUGGUGCUGUCGGUGCUGGCCAUCAAGUUCGAUGCCUGGUUUGCGUG